rnacentral:rRNA from 1 species
UCUCAGUACAAGCCGAACUAAGGUGAAACCGCAAAAGGCUCAUUAAAUCAGUUAUGGUUCCUUGGAUCGUACAAUCCACUACUUGGAUAACUGUGGUAAUUCUAGAGCUAAUACAUGCAAACAGAGUCCCGACCAGAAAUGGAAGGGACGCUUUUAUUAGAUCAAAACCAAUCGACGUCCGUUUGCUCUCGGGCAGGCGGCGCCGUACUCCUUGGUGACUCUGAAUAACUUUUGGCAGAUCGCACGGUCUUCGAACCGGCGACGCAUCCUUCAAAUGUCUGCCUUAUCAACUGUCGAUGGUAGGUUCUGCGCCUACCAUGGUUGUAACGGGUAACGGGGAAUCAGGGUUCGAUUCCGGAGAGGGAGCCUGAGAAACGGCUACCACAUCCAAGGAAGGCAGCAGGCGCGCAAAUUACCCACUCCCGGCACGGGGAGGUAGUGACGAAAAAUAACGAUACGGGACUCAUCCGAGGCCCCGUAAUCGGAAUGAGUAUACUCUAAAUCCUUAUACGAGUAUCAAUUGGAGGGCAAGUCUGGUGCCAGCAGCCGCGGUAAUUCCAGCUCCAAUAGCGUAUAUUAAAGUUGUUGCGGUUAAAAAGCUCGUAGUUGGAUCUGUGUCCCGCGCCGUGGGUACACCGCCUGUCGGUGUUUAACUUGCGUGUAUGCGGAACGUCCUGCCGGUGGCGGUCCGGUGCCCAGUUGGUACGUAGGGGUCGGCCUUGCUUCGCUUGCGUCGUCCCUGAAGGCCUUCGUGGUGUCAUCGGCCGCCUUUCGAUCCCGUCGCGGUGCUCUUCACUGAGUGUCGAGGCGGGCCGGCACGUUUACUUUGAACAAAUUAGAGUGCUUUAAGCAGGCCCUGUCCCGCCUGUAUGUUGUGUGCAUGGAAUAAUGGAAUAGGACCUCGGUUCUAUUUUGUUGGUUUUCGGAAUCUGAGGUAAUGAUCAAUGGGGACAGGCGGGGGCAUUCGUAUUGCGACGUU